rnacentral:tRNA from 1 species
CCGCCGCUCCCGCGCAGGUCAGCGGCAUGGUCACACAGGCCAUGAGCGUGCUCUCCGGAGCCGUGUGCGCAGGUUCGAAUCCUGCCGGGGGC